rnacentral:rRNA from 1 species
GUAAAGGGUGCGUAGGUGGUUUCGUAUGUCGGAUGUGAAAGCCCGGGGCUUAACCCCGGAACUGCAUUCGAAACUGCGGGACUAGAGUACAGGAUGGGAGANCGGAAUUCUUGGUGUANCGGUGAAAUGCGUUGAGAUCAAGAAGAACACCGGCGGCGAAGGCGGCUCUCUGGAAUGUUACUGACACUCAUGCACGAAAGCUGGGGUAGCAAACAGGAUUAGAUACCCUGGUAGUCCCAGCUGUAAACUGUGUGCACUUGGUGUUGGCGGUAUUGACCCCGCCAGUGCCGGAGUUAACGCGUUAAGUGCACCGCCUGGGGAGUACGAUCGCAAGGUUAAAACUCAAAGAAAUUGACGGGGGCCCGCACAAGCGGAGGAGCAUGUGGCUUAAUUCGAUGCAACGCGAAGAACCUUACCUGGGUUUGACAUCGGAGAGGCUUGCCUCUAGCGCGUGAAAGCGCGUUAACCAGACAGGUGCUGCAUGGCUGUCGUCAGUUCGUGCCGUGAGGUGUUGGGUUAAGUCCCGCAACGAACGCAACCCUUAUGUUUAGUUGCCACCCCCGAGCAAUCGGGGCGCACUCUAGACAGACUGCCCGUACAAGCGGGAGGAAGGUGGGGAUGACGUCAAGUCCGUAUGGCCCUUACACCCAGGGCUGCACACGUGCUACAAUGGUCGGUACAGAGGGAUGCUACACCGCGAGGUUACGCAAAUCCCUAAAAGCCGGUCCCAGUUCGGAUUGCAGUCUGUAACUCGACUGCAUGAAGUUGGAUUCGCUAGUAACGGCGUAUCAGCUACGACGCCGUGAAUACGUUCCCGGGCCUUGUACACACCGCCCGUCACAUCAUGAAAGCCGUCUGCACCCGAAGUCACUGAACCAACCAGCAAUGGAGGGAGGUGCCGAAGGUGUGGGUGGUGAUUGGGAUGAAGUCGUA